rnacentral:rRNA from 1 species
UGGGGAAUUUUGGACAAUGGGCGCAAGCCUGAUCCAGCCAUGCCGCGUGUGGGAAGAAGGCCUUCGGGUUGUAAACCACUUUUGUCAGGGAAGAAACGGCCUAAUCUAAUACAUUGGGUUAAUGACGGUACCUGAAGAAUAAGCACCGGCUAACUACGUGCCAGCAGCCGCGGUAAUACGUAGGGUGCGAGCGUUAAUCGGGAAUUACUGGGCGUAAAGCGUGCGCAGGCGGCUUUGCAAGACAGAUGUGAAAUCCCCGGGCUCAACCUGGGAACUGCAUUUGUGACUGCAAGGCUAGAGUACGGUAGAGGGGGAUGGAAUUCCGCGUGUAGCAGUGAAAUGCGUAGAUAUGCGGAGGAACACCGAUGGCGAAGGCAAUCCCCUGGACCUGUACUGACGCUCAUGCACGAAAGCGUGGGGAGCAAACAGGAUUAGAUACCCAUGUAGUCCCUGAGCGGGCUGGCAAGGCGCAU